AGUGAACGCUGGCGGUAGGCCUAACACAUGCAAGUCGAACGGCAGCACAGUAAGAGCUUGCCCUUACGGGUGGCGAGUGGCGGACGGGUGAGGAAUACAUCGGAAUCUACUUUUUCGUGGGGGAUAACGUAGGGAAACUUACGCUAAUACCGCAUACGACCUACGGGUGAAAGCAGGGGAUCUUCGGACCUUGCGCGAUUGAAUGAGCCGAUGUCGGAUUAGCUAGUUGGCGGGGUAAAGGCCCACCAAGGCGACGAUCCGUAGCUGGUCUGAGAGGAUGAUCAGCCACACUGGAACUGAGACACGGUCCAGACUCCUACGGGAGGCAGCAGUGGGGAAUAUUGGACAUUGGGCGCAAGCCUGAUCCAGCCAUACCGCGUGGGUGAAGAAGGCCUUCGGGUUGUAAAGCCCUUUUGUUGGGAAAGAAAAGCAGCAGGUUAAUACCCCGCUGUUCUGACGGUACCCAAAGAAUAAGCACCGGCUAACUUCGUG
rnacentral:rRNA from 1 species